rnacentral:lncRNA from 1 species
AUAGAAAAUCAUUUUCCAUUUUCUGCACACUUGUUAUGAUUCUUAAGGACUGUCAAAUCUGGUUUUAAGAAUGUUUUUACUGGUUUUGCUUUUAGAUGUUGCUAAACAUUCCAUUUGCGUUCAUGUAUAAGUUCAAACAUGUUUACAUUGUUUGCAGUACCUUAUUUUACAUUUUUUUAGCAUUUUGUCAAACACCUUGUUCUUAUUAGAUUUUCAUUGAGACAUAUAAUCAAACAGCUUGCUUCCUUGCAUUUUUACACUAUUUUAGGAAGAUUUAGAGUUAGAUCAUAUUUCUAUAUUUUUUUUUCAAGUUGAUUUACAUGGUAGUUAGUCAUCACAUAGCAUUAAUUCAUCACCCCAUUGUUGACUGAGACCUAUUUUAGUUUUAGCAAAUCACCGCUUACCUCGAGGACCACUGGAGAACCAAAAGCUACAGGGUCCUUCGAUGGCCAAAGUAAUAACAAAUGUUGCUGCCUCCCUUGGUGCCAAGCCUACCACAACUCAUGAAGACGCC